rnacentral:rRNA from 1 species
UUAGCAUAUCAAUAAGCGGAGGAAAAGAAACCAACAGGGAUUGCCCUAGUAACGGCGAGUGAAGCGGCAACAGCUCAAAUUUGAAAUCUGGCCCUUGUGGUCCGAGUUGUAAUUUGUAGAGGAUGCUUUUGGUGCGGUACCUUCCGAGUUCCCUGGAACGGGACGCCAUAGAGGGUGAGAGCCCCGUCUGGUUGGAUACCAAUCCUCUGUAAAGCUCCUUCGACGAGUCGAGUAGUUUGGGAAUGCUGCUCAAAAUGGGAGGUAUAUGUCUUCUAAAGCUAAAUAUUGGCCAGAGACCGAUAGCGCACAAGUAGAGUGAUCGAAAGAUGAAAAGCACUUUGAAAAGAGGGUUAAAUAGUACGUGAAAUUGUUGAAAGGGAAGCGUUUGUGACCAGACUUGGGCUUGGUUAAUCAUCCAGCGUUCUCGCUGGUGCACUUUGCCAGCCCAGGCCAGCAUCAGUUUGCUGCGGGGGAUAAAAGUUUCGGGAAUGUGGCUCCUCGGAGUGUUAUAGCCCGUUGCACAAUACCCUGUGGUGGACUGAGGUUCGCGCAUCUGCAAGGAUGCUGGCGUAAUGGUCAUCAACGACCCGUCUUGAAACACGGACCAAGGAGUCGUCUUCGUAUGCGAGUGUUCGGGUGUCAAACCCCUACGCGUAAUGAAAGUGAACGGAGGUGGGAGCCUCGGCGCACCAUCGACCGAUCCUGAUGUUUUUGGAUGGAUUUGAGUAAGAGCAUACGGGGCCGGACCCGAAAGAAGGUGAACUAUGCCUGUAUAGGGUGAAGCCAGAGGAAACUCUGGUGGAGGCUCGCAGCGGUUUUGACGUGCAAAUCGAUCGUCAAAUAUGGGCAUGGGGGCGAAAGACUAAUCGAACCUUCUAGUAGCUGGUUUCCGCCGAAG